rnacentral:rRNA from 1 species
UACGAAGGGUGCAAGCGUUACUCGGAAUUACUGGGCGUAAAGCGCACGUAGGCGGCUUUGUAAGUUAGAGGUGAAAGCCCGGGGCUCAACUCCGGAACUGCCUUUAAGACUGCAUCGCUUGAAUCCGGGAGAGGUGAGUGGAAUUCCGAGUGUAGAGGUGAAAUUCGUAGAUAUUCGGAAGAACACCAGUGGCGAAGGCGCUCACUGGACCGGGUAUUACGCUGAGGUGCGAAAGCGUGGGG